rnacentral:tRNA from 1 species
CGAUUGGCCCAGCGGUGGAGCGCCUCGUCUGCACCGAGUUGGUCGGGAGUUCGAUUCCCUCACCG